rnacentral:rRNA from 1 species
GAUGAACGCUGGCGGCGUGCCUAAUACAUGCAAGUCGAGCGAACAGACGAGGAGCUUGCUCCUCUGACGUUAGCGGCGGACGGGUGAGUAACACGUGGAUAACCUACCUAUAAGACUGGGAUAACUUCGGGAAACCGGAGCUAAUACCGGAUAAUAUAUUGAACCGCAUGGUUCAAUAGUGAAAGACGGUUUUGCUGUCACUUAUAGAUGGAUCCGCGCCGCAUUAGCUAGUUGGUAAGGUAACGGCUUACCAAGGCAACGAUGCGUAGCCGACCUGAGAGGGUGAUCGGCCACACUGGAACUGAGACACGGUCCAGACUCCUACGGGAGGCAGCAGUAGGGAAUCUUCCGCAAUGGGCGAAAGCCUGACGGAGCAACGCCGCGUGAGUGAUGAAGGUCUUCGGAUCGUAUAACUCUGUUAUUAGGGAAGAACAAAUGUGUAAGUAACUAUGCACGUCUUGACGGUACCUAAUCAGAAAGCCGCGGCUAACUACGUG